GCCGCUUUAGCUCAAUUGGUAGAGCUCCUGAUUUGUAAUCAGGUGGUUGAGGGUUCGAGUCCCUUGGGCGGCUCCA
rnacentral:tRNA from 2 species